rnacentral:tRNA from 4 species
GCCCCCUUAGCUCAGGGGAUAGAGCACCGGCCUCCGGAGCCGGGUGCGUAGGUUCGAAUCCUACAGGGGGCAC